GCUUACGACCACACCGGGCUGAGUACGCCUGAUCUCGUCUGAUCUCGGAAGCUAAGCAGGGUCAGGCCUGGUUAGUACUUGGAUGGAGACAGCCUGGGAAUACCAGGUGCUGUAGCUU
rnacentral:rRNA from 1 species